rnacentral:rRNA from 1 species
UACGGAAGGCAGCAGUGGGGAAUAUUGCACAAUGGGCGCAAGCCUGAUGCAGCCAUGCCGCGUGUAUGAAGAAGGCCUUCGGGUUGUAAAGUACUUUUCAGCGGGGAGGAAGGCGGUGAAGUUAAUAGCUUCACCGAUUGACGUUACCCGCAGAAGAAGCACCGGCUAACUCCGUGCCAGCAGCCGCGGUAAUACGGAGGGUGCAAGCGUUAAUCGGAAUUACUGGGCGUAAAGCGCACGCAGGCGGUCUGUCAAGUCGGAUGUGAAAUCCCCGGGCUUAACCUGGGAACUGCAUUCGAAACUGGCAGGCUAGAGUCUUGUAGAGGGGGUAGAAUUCCAGGUGUAGCGGUGAAAUGCGUAGAGAUCUGGAGGAAUACCGGUGGCGAAGGCGGCCCCUGGGACAAGACUGACGCUCAGGUGCGAAAGCGUGGGGAGCAAACAGGGAUUAGGAUA